UUUUACAAUACAAUAUUUGUUCAUUAAAAUUUUUUUUGUAGUCUUAAGUAGCAAUUUCUUUUUUAGCUUAGGGUAUUGUAAAAUAGUUGUUACAAAUUUAUUUCUUAUAAAUAAACCUAAGUACAUUCAAAACAUAUUUUUUUCACUAGUAUUUAUAAUAUUGAGUUUAUAUAAAUUAACGAAUUGUGUUCAGUUGCGAAAAAUUUCUAUUUAGUGAAUAAUAUUUCAUUUUAAAAUUUUUUAUGUUCGUGUGAUUGACUUGAAAAAUUCAUAAACAUCUUUUUGUUAUAUUUUGAAAUAAUAGUUGGUUGAGAUAAGAUUUUCAACUAACUUUUUGAACUCUGGUUUUGUGGGUCGUUUUUACUUUAUCUUUUUCUUUAUCGAAGAUAGUGAUAUUAACAUCAUCUACUUUAGUUACAACGUGAAGACCCUGACAUAUAUUUUCAUGCUAGAUUCUGGGUUCUUUUUGUACCAGAACGAGAUCGUUUUCUUUAAUUUGUACUGGGCGAAAGUGUAUUAUACAAAACUUUGUUGCAGAUUUUAUGUAUGUUAAUUAAUUCUUUGGCUAUUGCACGUGAUUUUUGCAUCCGGUACUUAACCUCUUUUGCAUAAUUUUCAACAUUUUAAAUGGGAUCAGUUUUUCGUUUUUUUUUUCAAAUCGUGCGGUAAAGUCGGUGUUUUCCCGAAAACUGGUUCGAAUGGAGUAAAUUUAUUGUUAAAAACAGAAUUUGGAGUAGUAUUAUGCAAAAAAGUGAAAUACCUAAGAUAACUGUCCCAGUCAGAGAUAAGGUGUGUACUCGUAUUGAGAGGAAAAAGUUCUCCAGCAGCAAAUGUUCUGAGAAUUUACCAGCAUUCGCUCUCAAAGAGACGAAAUAUCAACAGAAGUACGAGAACGCAAUAUUUGCAAAAACUUGCAAGCAGCUAAACAGCUGAUUCAUUUGGUGGGAAAAAAUAAAGAAUAAAGAAUAAAAAUGGAAAAUAACAAUGAAUUAACAAUUAAUUGUUCCCCAGGAACUUUCAAAAAGAUUCAAGCAGGUAAGAAACGGAAAUUAUGAUUAUUAGACUAUAAGCAUUGUAAAUAAACACUUUUUAUUUACUUAUUGAAACCUGAAAAUCCAAAUUGUAGGCAGUGUGUAAUACAGCAAGGUGCCGGGGAAGAUACGUUUGGACAAAUAACGUUUUCCCAAAAAGAGCCAGAAAUAUCUAUCUAAGCAGGCUGCUUGUGCAUAUCAGCAAAAUGUGGAUACGGCCCCUAGAGAAUCGCCAGAUUUAGCAAAACCAUUGUGGUUGGAUGCGCCAUCGAGAUUUUUAAUCGAGAAGGUUUGGGAUUUAUGUCUAAGGGUUGGCAAAAGCGAUUCUCUAAAAAACACGAAGCAAAUGUGGACUACAACUCGCAAAGAACUUUGCGAAAUGGGAUACAUGUUUACGGCGGUGCAAGUGCAGACGAAAUUCUAUACCCUAGAACGGAACUGCAAGCAAGCGGCUUCGAAUAAAUCCAAAACGGGAAGGGCAAGACAGAUCUGCGCAUAUCAAAAUGAACUCCAGUCUUGACGUCAGCACUGGUGUAGAAGAAUUCUUAGAUGCGGCGCCAGCUACACCAGACGAGCCCGAUUUCACGCCGUCCACUUCCAACAAAAGGAAACCUUCGCCAGCUACACCAGUAGAUGUCCCCGAUUUCACGCCGCACACCUCCAAAAGAAAGAAAACUUCGCUAGAGCGGUAUUUAGAAAAAAAGAAAAGUCAGAUGAAAGAUUGGAGAAACUGUUUGAGGAGAGUUUGAAGAGAAAGGCUUAUUUGAUGGAAAGGAAAGAGCAGAGGGAAAUAGAAAAACUGCUAAUAAUGAUGUCGAUAGCUGAUUUGCUGAAAAAGUAAAACCAUGGAACAAAUCCGGUAAACUUAUAGCUUUGUUGUUUUUUUUCCUAAAAAUUACUAAUAUAAACAUACAAAAUUAAGUAAGUUUACGAGGUUUAGGUAGUUACGAGACAUUUACGCGUUUGGGUGAAUUGCCCUAAUAUUUCUAAUUAAUUUGUAGAAGUUUAAGUGCAAAUGAAAGUACAAAUGAAAUAAAUACAUGUAUGUGAUUCACUAA
rnacentral:lncRNA from 1 species